rnacentral:rRNA from 1 species
AUACGUAGGUGACAAGCGUUAUCCGGAUUGACUGGGCGUAAAGGGCGUGUAGGCGGUCUUGCAAGUCAGAAGUGAAAUUCCUGAGCUCAACUCGGGCGCUGCUUCUGAAACUGCAGGACUUGAGUGCUGGAGGGGAUAGCGGAAUUCCUAGUGGAGCGGUAAAAUGCGCAGAUAUUAGGAAGAACACCGGUGACGAAGGCGCCUAUCUGGACAGUAACUGACGUUGAGGCGCGAAAGCGUGGGGAGCAACCAGGAUUAGAUACCCUGGUGUUCCACGCCGUAAACGAUGAAUACUAGGUGUAGGGGGCAUCGACUCCCUCUGUGCCGCAGUUAACACAAUAAGUAUUCCGCCUGGGGAGUGCGGCCGCAAGGUUGAAACUCAAAUGAAUUGACGGGG